GAGCACGUAGGUGGGUUUGUAAGUCGGGCGUGAAAUCCCUCGGCUCAACCGGGGAACUGCGUCCGAAACUGCAUUGCUUGAGGACGGGAGGGGAAGGUGGAAUUCCUGGUGGAGCGGUGAAAUGCGUAGAUAUCAGGAGGAACGCCGGUGGCGAAAGCGGCCUUCUGGCCCGUCCCUGACGCUGAGGUGCGAAAGCUAGGGGAGCAAACAGGAUUAGAUACCCUGGUAGUCCUAGCUGUAAACGAUGGGCACUAAGUAGAGGGGUUU
rnacentral:rRNA from 1 species